CUCUCUGUCUCUCUCGAUCCCUCUCCUCCACCCCGCCGCCACCCACCCUCUCCUCCACCCCGCCGCCACCCUCUCCUCCGGCAAGGUCGCUCCGUCUCGACCCCUCUCCUCCCGCCAGAUCGCCCCGUCCAGGUCCCUCUCCUCCCGCAUAUCGCCCCGUCCCGGUCCAUCUCCGCCCCGUACUGUCCCUCUCCGGCAAGGUCGCAAGGACACUCCGACUUCUUGGUUACCUGUCCCUCUCGCCACCGCAGGACGCCUCACUCCAGCCACCCGAUCUGGGCAGCCCACGGUAGGUCAACUCCACCCCCGGAGGACUAAGGAGCAAGAGGCACCGGGGCUCUUGGUCUGGGAGCAAGCAGGGAAAUAUUGGGUGAAGUGUGAUGCUGAACGGACAGAGGAAGAUCCUUGAGCAAUGAAAAUCUUUGUUGGGUGGUGCUAAUAAUGCAAAGAUUUAGUUAUGUAUUCACUUUGAGCAAUUUGUACAACCAUUGUGCCCUAUGAGACCAUAUGUCACCAUUUCUCAUCAUAUUUUGCAGGAAAUAUUGGGUGAAGUGUGAUGCUGAACGGACAGAGGAAGAUCCUUGAGCAAUGAAAAUCUUUGUUGGGUGGUGCUAAUAAUGCAAAGAUUCAGUUUUUAUGUAACCUUGGCUAGACUGUGAUCAUUUGAUGUUGUGAACCUUUGUCGUAUUGCAAAGAUUAACUUUUUACAAAGUCUCAUGUUGAAGUUUUAUGUAUUGGCAUGGUUCAGUUUAAUGCAAAACAUUGCUACGUGUGAACAAACAA